AGCAGUAGCCGCGGGAAUACAGAGGGUGCAAGCGUUAAUCGGAAUUACUGGGCGUAAAGCGCGCGUAGGUGGUUUGUUAAGUUGGAUGUGAAAUCCCCGGGCUCAACCUGGGAACUGCAUCCAAAACUGGCAAGCUAGAGUAUGGUAGAGGGUGGUGGAAUUUCCUGUGUAGCGGUGAAAUGCGUAGAUAUAGGAAGGAACACCAGUGGCGAAGGCGACCACCUGGACUGAUACUGACACUGAGGUGCGAAAGCGUGGGGAGCAAACAGGAUUAGAUACCCGUGUAGUCCCUGUCUCUUAUAC
rnacentral:rRNA from 1 species